GCGGCGAGGGCCGCCGCACAUGCGCCUUGAGGAAAGAUGGCACCUGCCGGCUGCUGCUGCUGCUACUGCUGCUGGGGCGGCGCUGUGGCCGCCGUGGACGCCGCCCGGCGUGUCCUGGUGCUGCUGUUGCUGGGGGUCCUGUCCGCCGGGCCGUGCCCGGGCGCCCUGGCCACCGAGCACUACUCGCCGCUGUCGCUGCUCAAGCAGGAGCUGCAGCACCGGCAGCAGCAGGAGGCCCCGGCAGGCGGCGGCUGCAGCCCGCAGUCCGGGGACUGGGGAGACCAGUACUCGGUCGAGUGCGGCGAGUCCUCCUUUUUGAACUUCCACGACUCAGACUGCGAACCCAAAGGACCACCACCCUGUGACUCAUUGCUUUCCCUCAACACUGAAAAGAUUCUGAGCCAGGCCAAGUCUAUUGCAGAACAAAAGAGAUUCCCGUUUGCUACAGAUAACGACAGCACAAAUGAAGAACUAGCUAUUGCCUAUGUGUUGAUUGGCAGUGGACUCUAUGAUGAAGCGAUAAGACAUUUUUCAACAAUGCUUCAGGAGGAGCCUGAUCUGGUUAGUGCAAUUUAUGGCCGAGGGAUAGCCUAUGGAAAGAAGGGACUACAUGACAUUAAGAAUGCUGAGCUUGCUCUGUUCGAACUGAGCCGAGUAAUUACCUUGGAACCAGAUCGUCCAGAGGUAUUUGAACAGCGAGCAGAAAUUCUGUCCCCUCUGGGACGAAUUAAUGAAGCAGUGAAUGAUCUCACCAAAGCUAUCCAGCUGCAGCCCUCAGCACGGCUGUACAGACACCGGGGGACCCUGUACUUCAUAUCGGAGGACUAUGCAACAGCCCACGAAGACUUUCAGCAGUCCUUAGAACUGAACAAAAACCAGCCUAUAGCUAUGCUAUACAAAGGUCUAACUUUCUUUCACAGAGGACUUUUGAAGGAAGCUAUUGAAUCCUUCAAAGAAGCCUUAAAGCAGAAAGUUGAUUUUAUUGAUGCAUAUAAAAGUCUGGGACAGGCCUAUAGAGAACUGGGCAAUUUCGAAGCUGCCACCGAGAGCUUUCAGAAGGCACUGUUGCUCAACCAAAAUCACGUGCAGACCCUGCAGCUCCGGGGAAUGAUGCUUUAUCACCACGGCAGCCUGCAGGAAGCCCUGAAGAACUUCAAGCGGUGUCUGCAGCUCGAGCCCUAUAACGAGGUGUGCCAGUACAUGAAGGGACUCAGCCACGUGGCCAUGGGACAGUUCUAUGAAGGAAUAAAAGCGCAGACUAAAGUCAUGCUAAAUGAUCCUCUCCCGGGCCAGAAGGCUAGCCCAGAGUAUCUGAAAGUGAAAUAUCUCCGCGAGUAUUCUCGAUAUCUUCACGCACACCUCGAUACUCCUCUUACGGAAUAUAACAUCGACGUGGAUCUGCCUGGAAGCUUUAAAGACCAUUGGGCUAAAAAUCUGCCUUUCCUCAUAGAAGACUAUGAAGAGCAGCCAGGGUUGCAGCCCCACAUAAAAGACGUGUUACAUCAGAACUUUGAGAGUUAUAAGCCUGAGGUACAAGAGCUCAUCUGUGUAGCUGAUCGUUUGGGAUCACUGAUGCAAUAUGAGACACCUGGUUUCCUGCCAAACAAGAGAAUACACAGAGCCAUGGGUUUGGCAGCAUUGGAGGUCAUGCAAGCUGUCCAGCGGACGUGGACCAACUCAAAAGUUCGAAUGAAUGGGAAAACACGGCUAAUGCAGUGGAGAGACAUGUUUGACAUCGCAGUAAAGUGGAGACGGAUUGCUGACCCAGACCAGCCAGUGUUGUGGUUAGAUCAAAUGCCAGCACGAAGCCUUAGCAGAGGUUUUAACAACCACAUCAAUUUAAUCAGGGGUCAGGUGAUUAACAUGAGAUACCUGGAAUAUUUUGAGAAGAUUCUUCAUUUUAUUAAAGAUAGAAUUCUUGUUUAUCACGGAGCUAAUAAUCCUAAAGGACUGUUGGAAGUUAGAGAAGCUCUGGAAAAGGUACACAAAGUAGAAGACCUUCUUCCAAUUAUGAAGCAGUUUAAUACUAAAACAAAGGAUGGGUUCACGGUGAACACAAAAGUUCCCAGCCUCAAAGAUCAAGGGAAGGAAUAUGAUGGAUUCACGAUCACAAUUACAGGAGACAAGGUUGGCAACAUACUGUUUUCUGUGGAAACGCAAACCACAGAAGAAAGAACACAAUUCUAUCAUGCUGAGAUAGACGCACUUUAUAAAGACCUCACAGCAAAAGGAAAAGUACUGAUUCUUUCAUCAGAAUUUGGGGAGGCUGAUGCUGUUUGCAACUUAAUCUUAUCCUUAGUUUAUUACUUUUAUAAUUUAAUGCCACUCUCUCGAGGAUCCAGCGUAAUAGCUUACUCCGUGAUCGUGGGAGCAUUGAUGGCAAGUGGAAAGGAAGUAGCAGGAAAAAUCCCCAAAGGGAAGUUAGUUGACUUUGAAGCUAUGACAGCCCCUGGUUCAGAGGCCUUUAGCAAAAUAGCCAAAAGCUGGAUGAACCUAAAAAGGUUCGGUAUUCAGGAAGGAACUUGAAAACUGUGAGCUGCGCCCAUUUCAGACGUGCCCUGAGUGGGAGCACACUUUUACUGCACAGUAGAUUUUGAGAAGGUGGCACUUCACAGUAACGUAGGCGAGGAGUGCAUUAUUUCACCUUCUUAUAAGGCUCUCCCAUCUGUGUCAGAGACGUUCCCGACAUUAAGAUCAAUGAUCGAGGUGCUAAACACUGACUCCUCUCCACGUUGUCUUAAGAAACUCUAGUUAUGCUGUGGUAUUUAUACGAGUAAAGGGCCGGACCUCUUGCUUCUUAAGUUAUUUUUUAAAACAUGGAAUUAUAAAGAAACUAGGUCCUUUAUUACUUUUGAUACCAAUUUUUGAUAGGAAUUGAAUACUUGAAAUCAUUUUCUUUACUUUUCGAACCAUAACAAAAAUCAUGAAAGAGGGUUUUUUUGGGGGAAAAAAAGCUCUAUGUUGGGGCAGGAAAGUGUGUGUAGAGGCCAGCGGCCUUGUUGUUUUCCACUUAAGGUCCUAAAACUCCUUCCUCACAGCAAAAAAGUUGACUUCAAAAACAAAAAUUAAUCAUUAAAAGGAACAAAACCAACAACAAAAUGGGAGUGUUUUCAUUCCUUGAAAGAUUUAGAGAUUUUUCAAGGCCUUUUUAUGCACAUUGUGAUAGGGCAUCGUGUUUUUCCCUCGCAUAAUCUUCACGAGUGGGUUCUCCCUUCUGUUUGAACGAUGAAGAUUCGUGGGCCGUCCUGUGCGCUGUCCCCGUGCGCCGCCAAGCUCACUGCCGCACUCACCGCUGCAAACGUUUGUUUUGAAUGAUGCAGACAGUAUUUGCCAGUGACCCAAACACUGAAUUAUUGAACCAUGUUUUUUUUUUCUCUGUGUUGGAAAAAAUAAACGAGGGGUGAUUUCUAUAAAUCACCAGUUUUUGACACUGGAUUAUGUAUGCUUUUGUUUUGUGAACUAGUUUUGCUUUCAGGUGUAAGAACUUCCAGAACAUGAUGGAUUUUUUUUUUCUCCCAAGAGAGGGUAAAUGACAGUGAGUAAAAUGGGUUCAUUAAAUUGUUGCCAUUUCCAAAU